rnacentral:rRNA from 1 species
GACGAACGCUGGCGGCGUGCUUAACACAUGCAAGUCGAACGAAGAGCGACGGAAGCUUGCUUCUAUCACUCUUAGUGGCGAACGGGUGAGUAACGCGUAAUCAACCUGCCCUUCAGAGGGGGACAACAGUUGGAAACGACUUCUAAUACCGCAUACGAUCUAAUCUCGGCAUCGAGGAUGGAUGAAAGGUGGCCUCUACAUGUAAGCUAUCACUGAAGGAGGGGAUUGCGUCUGAUUAGCUAGUUGGAGGGGUAACGGCCCACCAAGGCGAUGAUCAGUAGCCGGUCUGAGAGGAGGAACGGCCACAUUGGGACUGAGACACGGCCCAGACUCCUACGGGAGGCAGCAGUGGGGAAUCUUCCGCAAUAGACGAAAGUCUGACGGAGCAACGCCGCGUGAGUGAUGACGGCCUUCGGGUUGUAAAGCUCUGUUAAUCGGGACGAAAGGCCUUCUUGCGAAUAGUGAGAAGGAUUGACGGUACCGGAAUAGAAAGCCACGGCUAACUACGUG